rnacentral:rRNA from 1 species
AGAGUUUGAUCCUGGCUCAGAGCGAACGCUGGCGGCAGGCCUAACACAUGCAAGUCGAGCGGCCGUAGCAAUACGGCAGCGGCAGACGGGAGAGUAACACGUGGGAACGCGCCCUUCGGUUCGGAAUAACUCAGGGAAACUUGGGCUAAUACCGAAUACGCCCUUACGGGGAAAGAUUUAUUGCCGAAGGAACGGCCCGCGUCCGAUUAGCUAGUUGGUGGGGUAACGGCUCACCAAGGCGACGAUCGGUAGCUGGUCUGAGAGGAUGACCAGCCUCACUGGGACCGAGACACGGCCCAGACUCCUACGGGAGGCAGCAGUGGGGAAUAUUGGACAAUGGGCGCAAGCCUGAUCCAGCCAUGCCGCGUGGGUGAUGAAGGCCCUAGGGUUGUAAAGCCCUUUCAGCGGGGAAGAUAAUGACGGUACCCGCAGAAGAAGCCCCGGCUAACUUCGUGCCAGCAGCCGCGGUAAUACGAAGGGGGCUAGCGUUGCUCGGAAUUACUGGGCGUAAAGCGCACGUAGGCGGCUUUUUAAGUCGGAGGUGAAAUCCUGGAGCUCAACUCCAGAACUGCCUUCGAUACUGGAAAGCUCGAGUUCGGGAGAGGUGAGUGGAACUGCGAGUGUAGAGGUGAAAUUCGUAGAUAUUCGCAAGAACACCAGUGGCGAAGGCGGCUCACUGGCCCGGUACUGACGCUGAGGUGCGAAAGCGUGGGGAGCAAACAGUAUUAGAUACCCUGGUAGUCCACGCUGUAAACGAUGGAUGCUAGCCGUUGGCGAGCUUGCUCGUCAGUGGCGCAGCU